AGUGCAUCGCCGAUCAGUGUCUUGGUUGAGUAUCGAGUACACUUUUGCAGCGAUGCUAGAGCGACUCGAGGUCACCAGCUAGCCGGGGCACUCAUGCCUUAGGCUUUCCUAGAUACCUCGAUACAUUUUU
rnacentral:snoRNA from 1 species